rnacentral:rRNA from 1 species
UACGUAGGGGGCGAGCGUUGUCCGGAAUCAUUGGGCGUAAAGCGCGUGUAGGCGGCCCGGUAAGUCCGCUGUGAAAGUCCAGGGCUCAACCCUGGGAUGCCGGUGGAUACUGUCGGGCUCGAGUCCGGAAGAGGCGAGUGGAAUUCCUGGUGUAGCGGUGAAAUGGCGUAGAUAUCGGAAGGAACAUCAGUGGCGAAAGCGGACUUCCUGGACCAGUACCGACGUUCAGGCACGAAAGGCGUGGGGAGCAAACAGG